UUCAGAGGAACCUGUUCUAUAAUUGAUAAUCCACGAGUUAAAUUACUUAUUUAAUUAAUUUAUAUAUCGUCGUAAUUUAAAUAUUUUAAUAGAAUUAUAAUAUUUAAGAUUUUUAAUUAAAAAAUAAAUCAGAUCAAGGUGUAGUUUAUAAAUAAGAAGAAAUGGGUUACAGUUAAUAAAUUAAUGCUGGAGAAUUAAUUUAAAAUUAAUUUGAAAUUGGAUUUGAAAGUAAUUUAAAAUAAAUUUUUUAAAUGAUUUUAGCUCUAAAAUAAGCACAUAUCGCCCGUCAUUUUCACUAUAAAGUGAAACAAGUCGUAACAGAGUAGAUGUACUGGAAAGUGUAUCUAGAAAGACAAAUUAGAGCUUGGUAAAAGUAUUUUAGUUACAUUAAAAAGUUUAUUGUGAAAUUCAAUAUAAUUUGAUAAUAAAUUAUUAUUAAAUUUAAUAAUUUAAAUUUAUUUUAUUAUAAAUAAUUUAUAGUUUUAUUAAAUAAUUAGAAGUAAUUUUAUUAAUUAUAGUUUAUUAGUAUUGUGAAAGAAUAAUUAGUUUAAUUUUUAAGAAUAAUUUAUUUUUAGUACCUUGUGUAUCAGGGUUAAUUAAAAAAUAGUUUUUUAUAAAAUUUUCUCGAAUCUAAAAGGGUUAUUUAAAUAUUUUUUUUAAUGUAUAAUAAUUAUUAUUAAUAUUUAAAUAGAAAUGAAACGUUAUUCGUUUUUAGUUAUAUCUAGUUUUUAAAGAAAUAAAUUUAAUUUAGUAAAUUUUAUAUAUUAAAUUUAAUUUUUAAUUUAGUAUUAUUAUUUAUAAAUAUCUUAAGGGAUGAGCUUUAAGGUAUAUUUUUAUAAGUAAAUUAUUAGUUUAAAUAAAUAGGAUUAGAAUUUUUUAUUUUUUAGUAUUUAAUAAUUAAUUUAAUAAUAUUUAUAAUUUAUAUUAACUUUAAAUAUUAUAUUUAAAUUUAAAUUUAAAUUUUGAUAGUUUAGGAAUAAUGAUUAAAUUAGUAUAAUAUUUUUUAUAUAUUUAUAUUUUAAUAGAUUAUGUAAAGGAAUUCGGCAAAUAUAUUUUUCACCUGUUUAAU
rnacentral:rRNA from 1 species